GAUGAGCGCUAGCGGCAGGCUUAAUACAUGCAAGUCGUGGGGCAGCAGGGUUGUAGCAAUACAAUCGCUGGCGACCGGCAAACGGGUGCGUAACACGUACGCAACCUUCCCGUUACUGUGGCAUAGCCCAGGGAAACUUGGAUUAAUACCACAUAUUAUAUUGAGGGGGCAUCCCUUUGAUAUCAAAGCUUCGGCGGUAACGGAUGGGCGUGCGGUUGAUUAGGUAGUUGGCGGGGUAACGGCCCACCAAGCCUACGAUCAAUAGCUGAUGUGGGAGCAUGAUCAGCCACACGGGCACUGAGACACGGGCCCGACUCCUACGGGAGGCAGCAGUAAGGAAUAUUGGGCAAUGGACGAAAGUCUGACCCAGCCAUGCCGCGUGAAGGAUUAAGGUCCUCUGGAUUGUAAACUUCUUUUCUCUGGGGCGAAAACCAGCUAUUCUUAGCUAUUUGACAGUACCAGAGGAAUAAGCACCGGCUAACUCCGUGCCAGCCGCCGCGGUAACAC
rnacentral:rRNA from 1 species